CCCCGAGUCACAUAUUCUAAGAAAUAGACUGUACUCUCCUCAAAUCGAAAUAAGGGCACUUUAAUUCUUUGGAUUUUCCACAUUUUCGUUGCUAAAGCUCCUAUUUGCUUCCUUUGAGUCUGUAUCAGUUCAUGCAAGUUCUACCAAGGGGGGGAAGCGACACAGCACACUGCCACUUUAGUACGUGAAAUAGUAAGAUGAACAGAACCCGUGAAAGCGUCUGGUGCUGAAGCUGCAGCCCCAGCUCCUAGAGGAGCCUCGGGCCAGCACUGGGGAGCUCUCACAGCCACUCCUGCUUGACCUGGUCCAGGGUCGUUUUAAGCCACGGAUACAAAAAUUACACUUCUCCAAACCGGAGUCCAUCCUGAAGCUAGAAAACCCUGCUCUUCGAUGACAGAGCUCCCCGUGGGGAACCUGGAAAGAUUGAAUGUCCUCUGAGUUCAUGGGGCUUUGGCAGUGGGAAAGCUAAACAAAACGGAGCACAGGAAGAGUGUGAGACAGACUUUCCCAAGAUCCCCAGGAGGAUACAUUCCUAUAUCUUCAGAUUCUGUGAUUGCACUCAAGCCAGAAAUAGUUUUACUGCAAGAAAAGGAACAGCAGAAAAAAUCCCAUGUCGGUCCAGAAAGGAGCAAUAGCUACAGCUGUCUAUGAGUGAGUCUUGUAAAAGCAAUUGCGGAAGUUGGACAGACAAG
ensembl:lncRNA